GGAGGGGUGGCCGAGUCUGGCUUAAGGCGGCGGUCUUGAAAACCGCUGUGGGUUGACGCCCACCGUGGGUUCGAAUCCUACCCCCUCCGCCA
rnacentral:tRNA from 1 species